UCAUCGAACAACCUCACUUUCUCUGUCAUUUUCUUCUCCUCUCUCGUUCUCCCCUGUGAGUUUUCCUCUUUCUACUACCACCACCAUCAUUAUCAUCAAGAUUAAUCCUUAUUGUUGUCGUCGAGGAAGAAAGGUAUUGUCACUACCAGCACAUGAACUAUUUGUCACCUUUUUUGUUUCACUUCUACGAAGUAAACCCUAGAUUCAGAAAUUCUUCUUCUCCUUUUGAUUUUUCCCCCUCAAAAUCUUUCACCCGAUUUCUGAUCUUAGUUCAGAUUCAUGCUCACCAUGUCAGUAUCUGGAUUAAUCUGAUUAUAAAUCAUUUACAAAUUACAGUUUUUUGACCUAAAGAGGGAAAUCAGAGUUAAUCUGAUUGCAAGAGUGUUUCUCUAUUCUAUGAAUGUUUUUUGGCACGAGAUUUUCCCCGAAAUCGCUUCUCCUUUUUCAUAAGAUUUCUCUUAAAAUGUUAGAUGUAGAACAAAGAUAUUAUGUUUAGGUUGGUUCAGAACCAGGAUGAGAUGAUCAUGUAUUCAUGUUAGCUAGUCAGGCUCUCUGAACCCUACAAGGAAAUUGGAGAGUGUUUUGGAAGAAUAAUCAAGGAAGAAGGAUUUGGGGUCAUUGUGGAGAGGAAAUACAAGCAAUGUCAUGCAUUACUUCCCUACUCAGGCCUUGAACUUAACUUCAAAAGGCUCUUUAGUUUCAAGAAGGAUAAAGAUGGUUAUUGGAAAUGAUUUGCUGGUAACUUGGCAUCUGGAGGUGCUGUUGGUGCUUAUUCAGGCUUUUAGAACAAUGACGAAGAAGAAUGAGAAGGUUCUCUUGAUGGCGACUCCCAAUAAAAAGGUAGGCCAGUCUCUAGUCAGGAGGUAGCUGUUACACCAAAUGCAACUUGUCUCAUUAGUCCCGAGUUGCUCUCCUGGACAAGAAAGUUAUACAGAAGAUUCUUAAAGAAUGAGAGGGAUAUGGGAAACCCAAUGAGGAACUGUUGCCAAAGUGAAGUUAAUUGGGAAGCUACAAGACGGAACAAUAUUUUUAAAUAGGUCCAUGGGGAAGAGCUUUUCGAGUUCAAACAAAUAAUGAUGAAGUAAUUGGUGGACUUGAUAAAGCUGUAAUAAAAAUAAAAAAUGGUGAGGUGGCACUUGUGAGUCUGUGGCUAUAAAACCAAGUAUGCUUUUGGCUCUCCAUAGUCUCGGCAAGAACUGUUGUUCCUCCUGGUUCAAUCAUCUCUUACUGAAGUUGGCUUGUAUCUUUCGUUAACGUUGGUGGUGAAAAGACAAGGGUACCCAAAUAUACCUUAAUAUAAAACUUUUCCUA